rnacentral:rRNA from 1 species
GAUGAACGCUAGCGGCAGGCUUAACACAUGCAAGUCGAGGGGCAGCGCGGGAUAGCAAUAUCCUGGCGGCGACCGGCGGAAGGGUGCGUAACGCGUGAGCGACAUGCCCGUUGCCCGGGGACAACCGGUGGAAACGCCGACUAAUCCCCGAUGGGAUACGAUGCUUCAUGGCAUUGUAUUGAAAGUUACGGCGGCGACGGAUUGGCUCGCGUCCGAUUAGCUGGUUGGCGGGGUAACGGCCCACCAAGGCUGCGAUCGGUAGGGGUUCUGAGAGGAACGCCCCCCACAAUGGGACUGAGACACGGCCCAUACUCCUACGGGAGGCAGCAGUGAGGAAUAUUGGUCAAUGGGCGGAAGCCUGAACCAGCCAUGCCGCGUGCGGGAAGGAGGCCCUAUGGGCUGUGAACCGCUUUUGCCUGGGGGCAAUAAGGGCGUCGCGCACGUCCGAUGAGAGUACCAGGCGAAUAAGCAUCGGCUAACUCCGUG